UAUCUCCUACGGGGGGCAGCAGUGAGGGAUAUUGGUCAAUGGGGGAAACCCUGAACCAACAACGCCGCGUGAGGGAAGACGGUUUUCGGAUUGUAAACCUCUGUCCUCUGUGAAGAUAAUGACGGUAGCAGAGGAGGAAGCUCCGGCUAACUACGUGCCAGCAGCCGCGGUAAUACGUAGGGAGCGAGCGUUGUCCGGAUUUACUGGGUGUAAAGGGUGCGUAGGCGGGGAAGCAAGUCAGAAGUGAAAUCCAUGGGCUUAACCCAUGAACUGCUUUUGAAAAUGUUUAUCUUGAGUGAAGUAGG
rnacentral:rRNA from 1 species